GACGAACGCUGGCGGCGUGCUUAACACAUGCAAGUCGAGCGGUAAGGCCCUUUCGGGGGUACACGAGCGGCGAACGGGUGAGUAACACGUGGGUGACCUGCCCUCAGCUCUGGGAUAAGCCUGGGAAACCGGGUCUAAUACUGGAUAUGACUCCAUGACGCAUGUUGUGGGGUGGAAAGCCUUGUGCGGCUGAGGAUGGGCCCGCGGCCUAUCAGCUUGUUGGUGGGGUGAUGGCCUACCAAGGCGACGACGGGUAGCCGGCCUGAGAGGGCGACCGGCCACACUGGGACUGAGACACGGCCCAGACUCCUACGGGAGGCAGCAGUGGGGAAUCUUGCGCAAUGGGCGAAAGCCUGACGCAGCGACGCCGCGUGAGGGAUGAUGGCCUGGUGUAAC
rnacentral:rRNA from 1 species